rnacentral:rRNA from 1 species
AUGUCGAGCCGGCCCGCCGGCCGCCGCUCGUCGGCGUCGGCCACGGCGGAGACCGCCGGCGCUAAGGCUGCCAAGGCAGCGUCGCUGGAAAACAGGCGGGCCGCCCUGGGAAAUCUCACCAACGUUGCCGGCGGGAGGACCGGCGCGGCCGAUGUGAAAUCCAGUUCAUCCAACUCAGUAGCCUAUGUGAAGAAGGGGAGUUCUGCUAGCGUUCCCAACGUGAACAGGAAAGUGGCUUCUGCCACAAAACCAACUUUCGACCGGUUUGAGCGAGCAAUAUCGCACCAUGGCAAUGCCCUUCAGAAGGAGAAUGUUUGUCGCCUAUCUGUGCCAACGUUGGCGCCCCAUGGCAGUUGGCCCGGCCUGUCUCAUGAUUCUGUUUCUAUGGAGGACGAUAUGCUAACAUGCAAUUCAGUGGAAAGCCCUGGUCCUCCAUUCCUUGACAAUGCAGCUUCUUCAGUGGCAGCUUCCUUGCGCCGUUGUGCGAAUGAUAAACUUCCUGUAUCUGACAAUAGGGACACCACAGUAUCUAGAUGGAGAAAACAUUGUCCUACCCCAAUCGAAAACGACAAUAUCUUUGAGAUUGAAACGCACUGCAAGGAUCCAGAAUUGUGUUCAACUAUUGCUUGUGACAUUUACAAGCACUUGCGUGAAGCUGAGACCAAGAAAAGGCCUUCACCAGAUUUUCUGGAAACCACACAGAAGGAUAUUGACGCAAGCAUGAGGGCAGUACUUAUAGACUGGCUUGUGGAAGUCACAGAAGAAUAUCGUCUUGUUCCUGAAACCUUAUACCUCACAGUCAGUUAUAUUGAUCGGUAUCUUUCUAGCAAAGAGAUCAAUCGAGAUAAGCUGCAGUUACUUGGUGUCGCCUGCUUUCUUAUAGCUGCUAAGUAUGAAGAGAUAUGUCCACCCCAAGUAGAAGAGCUCUGCUAUAUUACCGACAAUACAUACAUAAAGGAUGAGGUUCUGCGAAUGGAAGCUUCUAUCCUGGGUUGCUUGAAGUUUGAGAUGACUGCACCUACAGGAAAAUGUUUUUUGAGGAGAUUUCUGCAUGCUGCUCAAGUAUGUCAUGAGGGCCCAGCUUUGCAUCUUGAGUUCCUAGCUAGCUACAUUACUGAGUUGUCACUUCUGGAGUACAGCUUACUUUGCCAUGUACCUUCACUGAUAGCUGCCUCUUCAAUUUUCUUGGCGAAUUUUAUCCUUAAGCCAACAAAGAAUCCUUGGCAGAAUACCACUCUUUCCUAUCACACACAAUACAAACCAUCCACAUUACGCGAUUGUGUAAAGGUACUACACCGGCUUUUCCGUGUUGGCCUUGGAAGCAACCUCCCUGCAAUUAGAGAAAAGUACAGCCAACACAAGUACAAAUUUGUAGCGAAAAAGUACUGCCCGCCAUCGAUUCCAGCCAACUUCUUCCAAGAUGCUAGCAGUUAG